AGAGUACCGUGAGGGAAAGGUGAAAAGAACCCUGAGCAAGGGAGUGAAAGAGAAUUUGAAACCGUGUGCUUACAAGCGGUAGGAGCCCUUAGGGGUGACUGCGUGGAUUUUGGUUAAUCAUCCUGCGAGUUAUGAUGUGUGGCGAGGUUAAGUGUAAGCGGAGCCGAAGGGAAACCGAGUCUUAAUAGGGCGAGAGUCGCAUGUCAUAGACGCGAAACCUAGUGAUCUAGGCCUGUCCAGGCUGAAGCUGAGGUAAGACUCAGUGGAGGGCCGAACUCACCGCCGUUGAAAAGUUGGGAGAUGAGAUAGGUCUAGGGGUGAAAAGCCAAUCGAACUAGGAGAUAGCUCGUUCUCUCCGAAAUGCAUUUAGGUGCAGCCUUGGUUGAAGAUAUGCGGGGGUAGAGCACUGUAUGGCCUAGGGGGCGUAUAGCUUACCGAAGUCAAGCAAACUGCGAAUACCGUAUAUUGUUUACCAGGAGUGAGUCUACGGAUGACAAGGUCCGUGGACGAGAGGGGAACAGCCCGGACCGCCGGCUAAGGUCCCAAAUCAUGUCUAAGUGGGAAAGGAGGUGGAUAUUCACAGACAACCAGGAGGUUGGCUUAGAAGCAGCCAUACCUUGAAAGAGUGCGUAAUAGCUCACUGGUCGAGAGUAUCUGCGCCGAAGAUAUAACGGGGCUAAGACAUGAACCGAAGCCGCGGAAGCGUGGUAACACGUUUGGUAGGAGAGCGUUCUGUAGGCCGUAGAAGGUGUCCUGAAAGGGAUGCUGGAGGUAUCAGAAGUGAGAAUGCAGGAAUGAGUAGCGAGAAGGAGGGCGAGAAUCCCUCCGGCCGGAAGUCCAAGGUUUCCAGGGGAAGGUUUGUCCGCCCUGGGGGAGUCGGGACCUAAGCAUAAGCAGAGCUGCGAAGGCGAAUGGAAAACAGGUUAAUAUUCCUGUACCGCUGUGUACUGACUGAGAGAUGGAGUGACGCAGGAAGGUAUGCGGGAAGGCUGACGGAAUAGCCUUUCUAAGGGUGAAACGUGGACAUAUAGGCAAAUCCGUAUGUUUAGACGUGAGGCCUGACGGGUAAGUGCCAUAGGGCAUAAGCCGCAGAUCCUACACUGCCGGGAAAAACUUCUAUUUAGGGAAGCAGCGCCCGUACUGUAAACCGACACAGGUGGACAGAGUGAGAAACUUAAGGCCGACAGGACAACUCUGGCUAAGGAACUCUGCAAAAUGGCCCCGUAACUUAGGGAGAAGGGGUGCCCGUGCUACCUGAAGGGGGAGACACCCGGAGGGGAAGCGGGCCGCAGUGAAGAGUCCCAAGCAACUGUUUACCAAAAACACAGGUCUAUGCUAAGCCGGAAGGCGACGUAUAUGGGCUGACACCUGCCCAGUGCCGGAAGGUUAAGAGGAGGAUUGAGAGAUUCGAAUUGAAGCCCCGGUGAACGGCGGCCGUAACUAUAACGGUCCUAAGGUAGCGAAAUUCCUUGUCGGGUAAGUUCCGACCUGCACGAAUGGUGAAAUGAUUUGGGAGCUGUCUUGGCCGGAGACCUGGUGAAGUUGUAAUGCCGGUGAAGAUACCGGUUACCUGCAGUAGGACGGAAAGACCCCGUGGAGCUUUACUGUAGCCUGGCAUUGGGUUUCGGCAAUGUGUGUAUAGGAUAGCUGGGAGGCUAAGAAGAUAUGGCGUCAGCUGUAUUGGAGCCGCUGUUGGAAUACCAGCCACGCAUUGUUGGGAUUCUAAUCUCAUAAGAUGGGAGACAGUGCUAGGUGGGCAGUUUGACUGGGGCGGUCGCCUCCAAAAGAGUAACGGAGGCGUUCAAAGGUUCCCUCAGGCUGGAUGGAAAUCAGCCGGAGAGUGCAAACGCAUAAGGGAGCUUGACUGCGAGACUGACGGGUCGAGCAGGCACGAAAGUGGGAGUUAGUGAUCCGGCGGUUCUGAAUGGAAAGGCCGUCGCUCAACGGAUAAAAGCUACCCCGGGGAUAACAGGCUGAUACUUCCCAAGAGUCCAUAUCGACGGAAGUGUUUGGCACCUCGAUGUCGGCUCGUCUCAUCCUGGGGCUGGAGAAGGUCCCAAGGGUUGGGCUGUUCGCCCAUUAAAGAGGCACGCGAGCUGGGUUCAGAACGUCGUGAGACAGUUCGGUCCCUAUCCA
rnacentral:rRNA from 1 species